GAAGCUUGCUUCUCUGAUGUUAGCGGCGGACGGGUGAGUAACACGUGGAUAACCUACCUAUAAGACUGGGAUAACUUCGGGAAACCGGAGCUAAUACCGGAUAAUAUUUUGAACCGCAUGGUUCAAAAGUGAAAGACGGUCUUGCUGUCACUUAUAGAUGGAUCCGCGCUGCAUUAGCUAGUUGGUAAGGUAACGGCUUACCAAGGCAACGAUGCAUAGCCGACCUGAGAGGGUGAUCGGCCACACUGGAACUGAGACACGGUCCAGACUCCUACGGGAGGCAGCAGUAGGGAAUCUUCCGCAAUGGGCGAAAGCCUGACGGAGCAACGCCGCGUGAGUGAUGAAGGUCUUCGGAUCGUAAAACUCUGUUAUUAGGGAAGAACAUAUGUGUAAGUAACUGUGCACAUCUUGACGGUACCUAAUCAGAAAGCCACGGCUAACUACGUGCCAGCAGCCGCGGUAAUACGUAGGUGGCAAGCGUUAUCCGGAAUUAUUGGGCGUAAAGCGCGCGUAGGCGGUUUUUAAGUCUGAUGUGAAAGCCCACGGCUCAACCGUGGAGGGUCAUUGGAAACUGGAAAACUUGAGUGCAGAAGAGGAACACGUGGAAUUCCAUGUGUAGCGGUGAAAUGCGCAGAGAUAUGGAGGAACACCAGUGGCGAAGGCGACUUUCUGGUCUGUAACUGACGCUGAUGUGUGAAAGCGUGGGGAUCAAACAGGAUUAGAUACCCUGGUAGUCCAUGCCGUAAACGAUGAGUCCUCAGUGUUAGGGGGUUUCCGCCCCUUAGUGCUGCAGCUAACGCAUUAAGCACUCCGCCUGGGGAGUACGACCGCAAGUG
rnacentral:rRNA from 1 species